CUGUCACAGCAUUGCCGGUGUUCAAAAGAAAAUUUCUUCACAAGAAGUUUGGUCUCUACGAGUUGUCAACGAUUACCGUAUGCGAAUAAACCUUGAGGUAUACGAGCUUUAUUACGACAUUAACAUUAUGCAACGAAUCAACACUUACUGACAUCACUAGUUUAUUCAAAUCGUGGGAAUGGCUGACAGUGCCCUAGCAAAAACUGUGUUUGAAGCGCUAUUUGAAUGGAAAAGACAUGAAGAAAGACCGGGUCUCCGAUGGAGCUAAUAAGUUGAAGAUCAUGUUCAGCUAUCAAGUUUAGACACUUAUAGCGCCUGUUGUAUAAGACUGAAAAAGGCACUUGAAGAGAACUAUUGCAUCAAGCUGAAACCUGAUAAGACAUCGUGUAGCCCAAAAUUAAUGAAUAUCAUCAUCACGACUACGUACUAUAACCAGGGAUCAUAAUUAUGCUACUAUAUUGCCUGUAUAGUCACAUGUACGAUAUAUGACGAAAACUUACAGACAUGGACCAAAGUAUUAUACUCGUUUUCAUAAUAAACAUAGUAUAAAAUAAAAGAUAUGGAUUAAAAAACGUUGGAAACCUUGGUAUAAGGCUUGGUAUUGGUCCCCUCUGCGGAUAAAACAAUUUAUGUUAAUCAAAUUAAGAUUUGGUCCUUUCCAUUGGUAUAAGUUGAUUUAUGCAUGUGAAGGAGCUUUUAUGUGUCAAAAAGUUGUGUGAAAGU